AUGCACAGGGAACACCCAAGGGUGCCAACAUAUGGUAGCUCCCCCUGGUCAUUUAUGCCUGUGCCACAGUAACUCUGAUCUGUACCUCUGCAUUAGGAGAGUCUGUUCCUCCCCUACAUGUAUUCAGCGGAUCAGAAUAAUC